GAGAGAGAGAGAAUGCUAUUGGUUAAAUGAGGGGGGGCAUUUGCAGGAGAAAUCCAUAUGAUGAUGCUAAAGAGGAACGCCGUUUCCCACGAUCUUCAAGACGCAUUUCAAGGUCACCAUCAGGCUCUCCCUCAAGAUCUGCAGAGUUGUCUCCAAGGCGUGGGAGGCCGUGAGGCAACAGUAAAAUGGUUAGUGUUUCUCGUUCUACAGGAAUGUAAAUUGUUAGCAAUCUUUUGAAUGCUAGUGGUUUUAGUGUUUUAAUGAGUGUUACAUGCAACAAUCUUUUAAUUUUAUUUCCUCUUUCUGACUCGUAGACUCAAAAGUUUGGUUCUUGUUAGCUAAUAGUGGAUUUGUGUUUGGGAUAUGGCUUGAUAGAGACAUGGGCUUCAUGUGACCAAAAAAUGCCAUACAAUUUCUUUAGAUGGGAUUCUCAAGUUUUGCAAUCUAUGAUCUUUAUUUGAAUGAUAAA